UACGUAGGGGGCAAGCGUUGUCCGGAUUUAUUGGGCGUAAAGAGCGUGUAGGCGGCCUGAAGGGUCAGCUGUGAAAACUCGAGGCUCAACCUCGAGACGUCGGUUGAAACCAUCUGGCUAGAGUCCGGAAGAGGAGAGUGGAAUUCCCGGUGUAGCGGUGAAAUGCGCAGAUAUCGGGAAGAACACCCGUGGCGAAGGCGGCUCUCUGGGACGGUACUGACGCUGAGACGCGAAAGCGUGGGGAGCGAACAGG
rnacentral:rRNA from 1 species